rnacentral:rRNA from 1 species
UACGGGGGGGGCAAGCGUUGUUCGGAAUUACUGGGCGUAAAGGGCUCGUAGGCGGCCAACUAAGUCAGACGUGAAAUCCCUCGGCUUAACCGGGGAACUGCGUCUGAUACUGGAUGGCUUGAGUUCGGGAGAGGGAUGCGGAAUUCCAGGUGUAGCGGUGAAAUGCGUAGAUAUCUGGAGGAACACCGGUGGCGAAGGCGGCAUCCUGGACCGACACUGACGCUGAGGAGCGAAAGCCAGGGAGCAAAGCGGG